UGUUAAAAUUUUCAUCCAUUUUUAUUAUAAAAAAUUGGGGUGGCUGACAGAAUAACACGCUAUAUGUAUCUCAUUAUGAUGUACAUGGAUCAAAUUUUAAUAGUAUAAAUUGAUGAUAUUUUUAAUA
rnacentral:pre_miRNA from 1 species